GAUGAACGCUGGCGGCGUGCCUAAUACAUGCAAGUCGAGCGAACAGACGAGGAGCUUGCUCCUCUGACGUUAGCGGCGGACGGGUGAGUAACACGUGGAUAACCUACCUAUAAGACUGGGAUAACUUCGGGAAACCGGAGCUAAUACCGGAUAAUAUAUUGAACCGCAUGGUUCAAUAGUGAAAGACGGUUUUGCUGUCACUUAUAGAUGGAUCCGCGUCGCAUUAGCUAGUUGGUAAGGUAACGGCUUACCAAGGCAACGAUGCGUAGCCGACCUGAGAGGGUGAUCGGCCACACUGGAACUGAGACACGGUCCAGACUCCUACGGGAGGCAGCAGUAGGGAAUCUUGCGCAAUGGGCGAAAGCCUGACGGAGCAACGCCGCGUGAGUGAUGAAGGUCUUCGGAUCGUAAAACUCUGUUAUUAGGGAAGAACAAAUGUGUAAGUAACUAUGCACGUCUUGACGGUACCUAAUCAGAAAGCCACGGCUAACUACGUG
rnacentral:rRNA from 1 species